CACGUAGGGCGCAAGCGUUGUCCGGAAUCAUUGGGCGUAAAGAGCGUGUAGGCGGUUCGGUAAGUCCGCUGUGAAAGUCCAGGGCUCAACCCUGGAAUGCCGGUGGAUACUGUCGGGCUAGAGUCCGGAAGAGGCGAGUGGAAUUCCUGGUGUAGCGGUGAAAUGCGCAGAUAUCAGGAGGAACACCAAUGGCGAAGGCAGCUCGCUGGGCCGGUACUGACGCUGAGACGCGAAAGCGUGGGGAUCAAACAGG
rnacentral:rRNA from 1 species